AUUGUCAGGGGCGUGGCUGGGGUCCCAGGGCUCCGCCGCCAUGUACUUGUCCCGUGUCCAUGUCAUCUGGAUUUUGUCAGCCCCAGCGGCAGACUCGUCUUCCUCGUCGGAGUACAGGCUCUCCAGCCGCAGGGCUGAGUGUCGGUCCUUGACCAGCUGGGCCUGAGGAAAAUCAGAGGUGGCCUCAGUGCCACGGGAAAAGGGGGACCUGGAUGGCCCAACACGAUCACUUGGCCUCCGGGAAAUGGGUACUGACUUGGGUGAGGCUGGGUGGGGUGCGCCAUUCUGAUUCCCCAAAGUGAUGGUGUCUCCAAAGCCUGACCUGCCACCCGCCCCUGCCUGAAAUGAGAAAGCCACUGACUUCUCGCUCCCGCUCCGUCUUCGUCAGCCUCAUCUGCCGCAGCAUCUGGGAGCGCUGUUCCAUCAUCAGUGUCCGCUCAUAGGUGUAUGCGGAGAUAUCGCUGUUAUGCUGGGGAGAGAGUGGAGCAUGAAGAAUGGGCUGCAUGCAGCCGGCUAUCCACAGGGCCACGGGGGCAGGUGACUCACCAUCUCUACCACCUCCACCUCAGCCUCAAGGCGCAGGUGGUACAGGAAGACGGCCAGAUCCUUCUUCAUCUGGAUGCUGUUGUCGUCCAUCUGGGCCACGGUGAAGAUGCGCAUCCGGCACUUCCUCCACACCUGGGGCACAGGAGCAGGAUCCUCUCUUAAGGGAGCUGUCAAGGGCCUGAACAGAGAGAGAUCUGUGUGCAAAGCUGUUCAUGACAACGUUUACAACAGUGAAGAACCAGAACCCCAGGGUGGAAUAAUCACAUAAAUUAGGCCUGGAGUGGCGCUUACCCACCUGGAACCACACCAUUGGUGGCGAUGGCGCUCAUGGAGAUGGCUGUCAGCAGAGUCUGUGGGAAGGAGGCCUAGCAGGCCAUGCAGGUACCCAAAAGAUGUUCCUGAGCCCAGUGAGUGGUGCCUUGGAAGGCCUCUGGGAUAACCUGCUGGGAAAAUCCUGCAUAGACAAUAGAAACUCAAGCUGAAGGACAGCUAAAAAUGCUGAAUGAUGCAUCCUCCAUCUGAUACAUUCUCUUGCCAUCGGUGUAAGAGUUAACUUGCCUUCCCUGAGCCAACAACACUCAGUAGGUGCCGCACUGUGGAUUCCUCAUUGCCCAGAGACUGACAGAGAACUUUAGAACAUUAGUGAAGAAUUAGUAGUAUCUCUCUGACUGCUGCCUCCUCCUGGCCUCAGCUCUGGGAUGGAAUGAGGAAUCAGAGUCUCUGGGUCCUGCAGGAGGACCUCCAAGGUGACCACCACUCUGGCUCUUACCCCACAGUCAUCCGGCCAGAGCCUGUCGACUUGACCUCUCGUCCUUCACACCGCCUUCAGCUGUGCACAGUAGCAGCCUUCCAGAUGGACUCCCUGUUCUCUCCCACUGCUCAUGGUAGAGCCACCUCUUCUGAAGAGAAAGCCCAUGCUCUUCUCUUGGCCCACAAGGCCCUGCUCCAUCUGGACCCUCCAACCUCCCCAGCCUCAGUCUUCUGGCCUCUUUCACUUCCCCAAACUCAGAGCCUUACUGCAUAUUACCUGCUGUUCGCUCUGACAGAAUGCCUUUCUACCCUCUGCCCUCACUCUGACUAACCAAACUCCUUGGUAUUAGGGGAGGUCUCACCCUGGAGUACCACUUCCUCUCCAGAAGACUUCUCAGACUCACAUCCGUCCACCCCACCUCACCCUCCUCUGGAUUGGGUUCUUCUUAGGCACUUUCCCUUCACAGUACCCUCUGCAGGGAGACAUGUGUUGGUGGGAAUCUUUGAUUAACGUUUUUCAUGCCCACUAGACUGUGGACUUCACAAGGACAGUACCCUUUUGGUCUUGCCACCUUGGUAUUCUCAGUCCCUCCCCCCAACACAUCUUUUGAAUAAAGAAUGAACAGGA